GAUGAACGCUGGCGGCGUGCCUAAUACAUGCAAGUCGAGCGAAUGGAUUAAGAGCUUGCUCUUAUGAAGUUAGCGGCGGACGGGUGAGUAACACGUGGGUAACCUGCCCAUAAGACUGGGAUAACUCCGGGAAACCGGGGCUAAUACCGGAUAACAUUUUGAACCGCAUGGUUCGAAAUUGAAAGGCGGCUUCGGCUGUCACUUAUGGAUGGACCCGCGUCGCAUUAGCUAGUUGGUGAGGUAACGGCUCACCAAGGCAACGAUGCGUAGCCGACCUGAGAGGGUGAUAGGCCACACUGGGACUGGGACACGGCCCAGACUCCUACGGGAGGCAGCAGUAGGGAAUCGUCCGCAAUGGACGAAAGUCUGACGGAGCAACGCCGCGUGAGUGAUGAAGGCUUUCGGGUCGUAAAACUCUGUUGUUAGGGAAGAACAAGUGCUAGUUGAAUAAGCUGGCACCUUGACGGUACCUAACCAGAAAGCCACGGCUAACUACGUGCCAGCCGCCGCCGUAA
rnacentral:rRNA from 1 species